rnacentral:rRNA from 1 species
GACGAACGCUGGCGGCGUGCUUAACACAUGCAAGUCGAACGGAAAGGCCCUGCUUUUGUGGGGUGCUCGAGUGGCGAACGGGUGAGUAACACGUGAGUAACCUGCCCUUGACUUUGGGAUAACUUCAGGAAACUGGGGAUAAUACCGGAUAGGAGCUCCUGCUGCAUGGGGGGGGUUGGAAAGUUUCGGCGGUUGGGGAUGGACUCGCGGCUUAUCAGCUUGUUGGUGGGGUAGUGGCUUACCAAGGCUUUGACGGGUAGCCGGCCUGAGAGGGUGACCGGCCACAUUGGGACUGAGAUACGGCCCAGACUCCUACGGGAGGCAGCAGUGGGGAAUAUUGCACAAUGGGCGGAAGCCUGAUGCAGCGACGCCGCGUGCGGGAUGACGUCCUUCGGGUUGUAAACCGCUUUCGCCUGUGACGAAGCGUGAGUGACGGUAAUGGGUAAAGAAGCACCGGCUAACUACGUG